UACGGAGAGUGCAAGCGUUGUUCGGAAUCAUUGGGCGUAAAGCGCGUGUAGGUGGCGAGUCAAGUUGGGUGUGAAAUCCCUCGGCUUAACCGGGGAAUUGCGCUCAAAACUGUCUUGCUUGAGUAUAGGAGGGGAUGGCGGAAUUCCCAGUGUAGAGGUGAAAUUCGUAGAUAUUGGGAGGAACACCGGUGGCGAAGGCGGCCAUCUGGACUAAUACUGACACUGAGACGCGAAAGCGUGGGGAG
rnacentral:rRNA from 1 species